AUGUUUCUCUUACGAAUUCAUCAAUAUGCAUGUAUUUCUCGUUUAGAUUAUUGUUUUUGUUUUUUUUUCUCCCUUCAAUUGAGAAUAGGGUUUGUGGGUAAAAUCAGUGGCUGGAGAAAAAACACUGUAAUCUGUAGGUUUUUCUCAACUUUGCUUGUGAAUUUUCAACUGCAUUGUGCAUUUUAUCUUUGA